UUCUGGUUGAUCCUGCCAGAGGCGACCGCUAUUGGAGUUCGAUUAAGCCAUGCGAGUCGAGAGUCUUAGGGACUCGGCAUACUGCUCAGUAACACGUGGAUAACCUGCCCUGUGCUGGAGGAUAACCUCGGGAAACUGAGAAUAAUACUCCAUAGACCACUAUGCCUGGAAUGGUUUGUGGUUCAAAGCUCCGGCGGCACAGGAUGGGUCUGCGGCGUAUCAGGUUGUAGGGGGUGUAAAGGACCCUCUAGCCAUUGACGCGUACGGGUUGUGGGAGCAAUCGCCCGGAGAUGGAUUCUGAGACACGAAUCCAGACCCUACGGGGUGCAGCAGGCGCGGAAACUUCACACUGCGGGAAACCGUGAUGAGGGAACUCCAAGUGUUUGCACUAUGUGCAAUCUUUUCUUGACUUUUAAUAGGUCUUGGUAAUAAGGGGUGGGAAAGACCGGUGCCAGCCGCCGCGGUAAUACCGGCACCCCAAGUGGUCGUCGCUUUUAUUGGGCCUAAAACGUCCGUAGCCUGUUUGGUAAACCCGUGGGUAAAUCAACAUGCUCAACAUGUUGACUUCUGCGGAGA
rnacentral:rRNA from 1 species